rnacentral:rRNA from 1 species
AUUGAACGCUGGCGGCAGGCCUAACACAUGCAAGUCGAACGAGCGGCGGACGGGUGAGUAAUGUCUGGGAAACUGCCCGAUAGAGGGGGAUAACUACUGGAAACGGUAGCUAAUACCGCAUACCAUCGGAUGACCCCAUAUGGGAGUAGCUAGUAGGGGGGGUAACGGCUACCCUAGGCGACGAUCCCUAGCUGGUCUGCGAGGAUGACCAGCCCCACGGUGACUGAGAAACGGUCCAGCCUCCGACGGUAGGCAGCAGUGGGGAAUAUUGCACAAUGGGCGCAAGCCUGAUGCAGCCAUGCCGCUUGUAUGAAGAAGGCCUUCGGGUUGUAAAGUACUUUCAGCGAGGAGGCGUUACUCGCAGAAGAAGCACCGGCUAACUCCGUGCCAGCAGCCGCGGUAAUUC